AUUAUUGCAUUUAGUGAGAUUGAAUUCGUUUAUUAAUCAAAAUUGCCACCCCUCGUGAUCUGUUAGUAAAUUUGGAAUAGAAGAUAUGAUUAACCCAUGCUUUACGGAGUCUGGUGUGAUCUUCUAACCGUAAAUGUGUCUCCUGCAAAAACAAAACAUCAGUUUUCAAUUGUUUAAGAUGGGAAAAAAUCCUAGAACGUUUCACAGGACCGUUCAUCCCCUUAACAUUCCAGGACACAAACUUAACUGCAGCUCCCCCUGUUGGGCUUGUACCACCUGCAUUAUUUAUCAUAGGAGACAUCCAAAAUGUGUAUGAUUAGCCUGAACCACAUUAUUGAAGUGCAUUUAUGGUCAUAAGUGAUGUCAACACACACCGUUUGCAGUUGUGUAGAAGUAAAAUAAAAUUGUAAUAAUAAUGAAAUAAAAAUACAGUUUAACAUAGUUGUGUGCAUCCUUAGAAGAUAAAGUGUUGCCGUGUAAAUAAAAUGUUGCCCAGUUCUCAUGAAACUUAAGUUGGAAUAGAAGAGAGAAAAAAAAAAACAAAAAAACCCCCCCAAAAAAAACACCUUGAACACCCCAAACCUAGAUCUUCUUCCCCAAACGAAGAAAACCGCAGGAAUUCCCAGAUGGAAAACUUCCAAGACAUCCAGCGUUGUCUAUAACUCCUAUCCUAACCUGAGGGUGGCUCCCCUCUCAGUAAGUGAUUUGUGUUCUACCUAUAUAUAAUCAUCUAUUCGGCUCACCUUGAGAAAAAAGGGACCAAACUAAAUCAAUAAAUAACAUUGAAAGUAAUAGGAUCUAUCCCUGAUUUGCAUCUGGAUCACCAGUGCUCACUGUGCAAUUACACAGAGCACGAUUGGACUGAUAAAAGUAUGUAAAAUAAAUCGAAGUGGCUGGCCUAGUUAAAAUAAAAUGUAUCAAGUUCUCUUGGGACAGAUAUUGUCACUUAAUUUACCUUACUAAAAUUGACCAGUCUGUGAAAUGGCCAUGUGCAGAGUUAUGUGUGAAAGCCACACUAACUAAAACAACCAAAGCAAAACAUAGCUGUUGUAUAUUUAAAUCACACAGGCCACAGCGUUGUUAUUGUACCAUAAACAUGUAUGAAGACCACAUUAACGUAAAUAUUACCGUGUAGGCCUGUAGUUUAUUUGAAAAAGGAAAAAAGAAAAAAAUGUUCUUGUUAUUUUCCCCUAUAUAUUAACCAAGCAAACAAAUAGUCCCAAGGAAUCAAAGUGUCUAAGCCGAAAGCUAAGCUUACUUUCACCUUCUCAUGGAUGAUCUAUGCUCCAGCAUCGUUUACUGUCCCCAGUGAAACUCGUAAAACUUCCUGGCCUUCUACGGGGUCUCGAAGAACAGCGUCUGUCCGUCAUGAAGGACGCGGAGCCGGGCAGGGUAGAUAAGAGCGAACCUGACGCUCUUCUUGUACAGGAGAGAUUUCACUUCUUUAAAGGCAGCUUGUUUCUUGCCGAGUUCCGCGCUGACAUCCUCGUGGAAAAAUAUCUUAUGUCCCCUGAAGAACAGCUGCUCUCGUUUCCUCGUUAUUAUGCGGUGUUUGUUUUGGAAAGUGUGGAAGAGAACGAGGAAUAUCCUCGGCCGUUUGGAGCUAGCGCCAGAGUCGGCGGUCGGCUUGGGUCCCACUCGGUGCGCGCGGGAGAUAAUGAGGGGAUGCGGGAAGAAUUCUUUACCCAGGACUUCCUCGAAAAAUUCAGUCAUGAACUUAACUGUGUCCGGGCCCUCCAGAUGCUCCGGGAUACCGACAACUCGCAGGUUGGACCUACGGGAGCGAUUUUCUAAGUCCUCCACUUUGUUUUUCAGCCUAUCGUUCUCAGCUAGAAGUGCGGUGCAUUUUGUUUCAAUAGCCUCGAUCCUGUCGCUGUGGUCAUUUAGCCCUUCCUCCAUGUCAUGGAUACGUUCUUCGUGGGAGUCAAGAGACGAUUUUACCCGUUCCAGGGAUGCUGAAAUUGGUGCCAGUGCCUCGCCGAGAGCUUUUUUCAGGAGGGAGUCCGUUUGCUGUGCGAGGUCGGACAGAAGCACCGAGUGAAGCUUAGCAAGAUCAGCAGCUCCCAUCUGACUUAGAUAUCUCAGACCUCAUCCUAAAGUCCAAGCCCUCCACCUGUCAGUUAGAUCCCCUCCCCACAGUUCUGGUGAAAGCCUGCCUCCCCUCUCUGCUCCCCCUCGUCUCUGCCAUCAUCCAUUCCUCACUCUCCACUGGAAUUGUUCCUACACUCUUCAAAACUGCUGCCAUCACUCCAAUAUUGAAAAAACCUGGUGCUGACCCUAAUAAUUAUAAUAACCUUCGUCCCAUCUCCAACCUACCUUGCAUCUCCAAAAUCCUUGAAAAAACUGUUGCUUCCCAAAUUCAUUCUCAUCUAACCCUUAACAACUUGUACGAACAAUUUUGUUUUCAGCCCCCUCCAUAGCACUGAAUCUGCACUAAUCAAAAUCACAAACGACCUCCUCCUGGCAGCCGACUCUGGUUUACUCACUAUUCUCAUCCUCCUCGAUCUGAGUGCGGCCUUCGACACCAUCUCUCACACUAUCCUCUUAACAGAUUAAUUUCCAUUGGCAUUUCGCACACACCCCUUGACUGGUUUAAAUCCUACCUCUCAGGCCGCACUCAGUUCAUCCAACUCCAAUCCUUCAGUUCCCACCCGUCCCCUGUCACCACUGGUGUGCCCCAGGGCUCUGUCCUGGCCCCCCUUCUCUUCAUAAUCUACCUCCUUCCCCUUGGCAAUAUCUUCCGCAAAUACAACAUCCAUUUUCAUUGCUACGCGGAUGACACCCAGCUCUACCUCUCCAGCAAACCCAAUUCCACUCUCCCACCUUCCUCCCUUACUGACUGCUUCACCGAGCUCAAAUCCUGGUUUUCCUCCAACUUCCUCAAACUAAACAGUGAUAAAACAGAAUUUCUUCUUAUUGGCACUAAAUCAACCCUCUCAAAAGCUGACAGUUUUUCCCUCACCAUCGACCACUCCUCUGUCUCCCCCUCCCCCCAGGUUAAGAGUCUGGGUGUCAUCCUUGACAGCACAUUAUCUUUCCAAACCCAUAUCAAUAACAUCACCCGGUGUGCAUAUUUCCACCUUCGCAAUAUUAAUCGCCUCCGCCCCUCCUUUUCUCCCCACUCCACUGCCAUUCUUGUACACAGCCUUGUCACCUCCCGCAUCAACUACUGCAACUCCCUUCUUUUUGGGUCUACCUCACAAAUACCUCAAUAAACUUCAACUGGUUCAGAACUCUGCAGCUCGAAUCAUCACCAGAACCCCCUCCAUCCACCACAUCACCCCUGUUCUGCAGCAACUUCACUGGCUCCCGGUCAAACUCUGCAUAAACUUCAAAAUCCUCCUGUUUACGUUCAAGGCCAUCCACAACCUUUCCCCUCCUUAUCUGUCCGAACUCCUCCACAUCGCCACCCCUUCCCGUUCCCUCGGAUCUGCCUCCUCUGUCCACCUCUCUGUCCCUCCCGCCCUCCUCGUCACCAUGGGGAGCAGGGCUUUCAGCCGCUCUGCCCCCCAUCUCUGGAACUCACUCCCACCGGACCUCAGGAACCUGGACUCUCUCACACUCUUCAAAUCAAUACUAAAAACUCACCUAUUUAGAACUGCAUACCCCACUUAACUAUAAACUUACUUAACUACAUUGUCUUUUCUUAUCUGUUUCUUAUUUCUUACUGUUUUUAUUUUUUAUGUGUUGUACGGUGAUUGAGUGCCCAGAGAGGCGCCUUUAAAUAAAAUGUAUUAUUAUUAUUAUUA